GAUGAACGCUGGCGGCGUGCCUAACACAUGCAAGUCGAACGGAGUCGUUUUGGAAAUCUCUUCGGAGAUGGAAUUCUCGACUUAGUGGCGGACGGGUGAGUAACGCGUGAGCAAUCUGCCUUUAAGAGGGGGAUAACAGUCGGAAACGGCUGCUAAUACCGCAUAAAGCAUUAAAUUCGCAUGUUUUUGAUGCCAAAGGAGCAAUCCGCUUUUAGAUGCGCUCGCGUCUGAUUAGCUAGUUGGCGGGGUAACGGCCCACCAAGGCGACGAGCAGUAGCCGGACUGAGGGGUUGAACGGCCACAUUGGGACUGAGACACGGCACAGACUCCUACGGGAGGCAGCAGUGGGGAAUAUUGCGCAAUGGGGGAAACCCUGACGCAGCAACGCCGCGUGAUUGAAGAAGGCCUUCGGGGUGUAAAGAUCUUUAAUCAGGGACGAAACAAAUGACGGUACCUGAAGAAUAAGCUCCGGCUAACUACGUG
rnacentral:rRNA from 1 species